UGACCUCAAAUCAGGUAGGAAUACCCGCUG
rnacentral:rRNA from 1 species